rnacentral:rRNA from 1 species
UUGGUGGGGUAAAAGCCUACCAAGGCGACGAUCUGUAGCUGGUUUGAGAGGACGAUCAGCCACACUGGGACUGAGACACGGCCCAGACUCCUACGGGAGGCAGCAGUAGGGAAUAUUGGACAAUGGGCGAAAGCCUGAUCCAGCAAUGCCGCGUGUGUGAAGAAGGCCUGUGGGUUGUAAAGCACUUUCAGUUGGGAAGAAAAGCUUAGGAUUAAUACUUCUAAGUCUUGACAUCACCAAUAGAAGAAGCACCGGCUAACUCCGUGCCAGCAGCCGCGGUAAUACGGAGGGUGCGAGCGUUAAUCGGAAUUACUGGGCGUAAAGCGUGCGUAGGCGGUUAAGUAAGUCGGAUGUGAAAGCCCAAGGCUUAACCUUGGAAUUGCAUUCGAUACUGCUUGGCUAGAGUACAGUAGAGGGAAGCGGAAUUUCUAGUGUAGCGGUGAAAUGCGUAGAUAUUAGAAAGAACACCAGUGGCGAAGGCGGCUUUCUGGACUGAUACUGACGCUGAGGUACGAAAGCGUGGGGAGCAAACAGGAUUAGAUACCCUGGUAGUCCACGCCCUAAACGAUGAGAACUAGAUGUUGGAGGAAAUUGAUCCUUUAGUAUCGUAGCUAACGCGCUAAGUUCUCCGCCUGGGGAGUACGACCGCAAGGUUAAAACUCAAAUGAAUUGACGGGGGCCCGCACAAGCGGUGGAGCAUGUGGUUUAAUUCGAUGCAACGCGAAGAACCUUACCUGGCCUUGACAUCCUCGGAACCUUGCUGAAAGGCAAGGGUGCCUUCGGGAACCGAGAGACAGGUGCUGCAUGGCUGUCGUCAGCUCGUGUCGUGAGAUGUUGGGUUAAGUCCCGCAACGAGCGCAACCCUUAUCCCUAGUUGCCAGCGAUUCGGUCGGGAACUCUAGAGAGACUGCCGGUGACAAACCGGAGGAAGGUGGGGACGACGUCAAGUCAUCAUGGCCCUUACGGCCAGGGCUACACACGUGCUACAAUGGGUAGUACAGAGGGUUGCAAACCCGCGAGGGGGAGCUAAUCUCACAAAACUACUCGUAGUCCGGAUUGGAGUCUGCAACUCGACUCCAUGAAGUCGGAAUCGCUAGUAAUCGCGAAUCAGCAUGUCGCGGUGAAUACGUUCCCGGGCCUUGUACAAAAUAAAGGCGCCUGGCAGUUUAUUAGACUAGGUGGUGAAAAUCCAUCUAUCCGCUUUCGGACAGCGGAUAUAGGGAAGGAUAGGACACGUUCCGCGAGGAAGUGUCUGAAGGAUCUGGAACAAAUGGUAGUCUCAGUCAAAAAGGGCGUUGUGACUCAUGUGUGUACCAUGAGGAAGCAACAGACCGUAAAGCCUGCUGGGAAUGUCAGAAAUAGCCUAAUAAAUGACCCAGGGAUAUCCUGUCGUUUAGAGAACCACUCAUACGACGGCAGGAAGUCAGCAGAGUCAUAGUAGCCGAUACGUCGGCAAAGGAUGAAACCUAUGAGAGAAAUCUCACCAGAGAACAUUUCAGGGUUUGUAGUAGGUGAAGGAUGUUUUUAUGUGGAAAGUGGUAGAGACCCUAAGUACAAGUUAGGGCAUAGAGUAAGAGCCGCUUUUUGCAUUGAACUAAGAGAAGAUGAUCAAGAGAUACUUGAGGCCAUUCAAAAAACCUUAGAAUGUGGCAAUAUUUACCAGCUUGAUUUUGGUAGAUACAAAGGCUACCAAAAAAAGGGUUGGAGACCUCAUGUUAAAUAUAGAGUGAGCAAUCAAAAUGAUAUCAUUCACAAGAUCAUCCCUUUCUUUGAAAGGUAUCCACUUUUUGGUAAAAAGCAAAAAUCGUUUGAUGUUUUUAUCAAGAUUGUGGAUAAAAUAAAACUCAAAGAGCAUCUAACGCCAGAGGGUUUAGAAAAAACUAAGUUAUUGGUUUCUGAACUCAAAGCACUGAAUAAGAAAGGCAUGUAGGACUCGCUGGAUGCGCUAGACACGCUUGUCCAGUGGGAACGCGACAAUGGUUCUAAUGAUCGCAAUCACCGCCCGUCACACCAUGGAAGUGGGCUGUACCAGAAGUAGGUAGUCUAACCGCAAGGAGGACGCUUACCACGGUAUGGUUCAUGACUGGGGUGAAGUUUAACGGCUUCCUAUGCGAGUAAUUGCAUAGUAAAAUCCAACUAUAUCGGUGAACCCCUAACUGACUGACUGUACAAGCAGUGGGCAAUGCCGAGGGAAGUUGGGCUAGAAGAUAGAAAUGUCUCAAACUAAGCUUGGUAAUCAAAUCAAACAAACACGCUUAACUCCUCUUGAAAAAGAGGUAAUUGUAGGGUGUUUGCUUGGAGAUGGAACACUGUCUCAAUCCGGUAGAUAUUACCGAUUGCGAGUGGAACAUGCUUCCAAAGAUCGGGAGUAUGUGGAGUGGAAAUAUAACUUGCUUAAACGGCUUUGUAUAUCAGGUAUUAAGCCUGUUUCUGCUCAUCGUUCGCUCAGAUUUGGUACAGUGGGUCAUCCAGAAAUGACAGAACUUAGGAAGACUUGGUAUCAACCUGUAAAACAAGUACCCAAUCAAUUAAUAUUAACACCAUUAAUGAUUGCUAUUUGGUUUAUGGAUGAUGGUACUAAACACAGAGACACCGUUGAUAUAUCGGUUCAUAAUUUUUCUGAUAGCAGUUUGCAAAUUUUGAGGAACCAAUUAUUGAAUUAUGGUGUUUUUACGACCAUUAAUUCAGACUCAAAAGGACACAGAUUGUAUUUUUUGAAGAAAAGUUAUCCUAUCUUUGAAAAGCUUGCUAAACCGUACAUUGUAAAAUGUAUGACACGUAAGUUGCCUUAACCCCGUAGAGGCCAUACGUAGGCUCCUUUGAAAAAAGGAUGAAGACAUGGUCCGACACCCUUAGUAAUAAGGGCUAAAACAGCAAGCGUAACAAGGUAGCCGUAGGGGAACCUGCGGCUGGAUCACCUCCUUUAAAGA